rnacentral:rRNA from 1 species
UACGUAGGGGGCAAGCGUUGUCCGGAUUCAUUGGGCGUAAAGCGCGUGUAGGCGGCCAGGUAGGUCUGGUGUGAAAACUCGAGGCUCAACCUCGAGAGGUCAUCGGAAACCAUCUGGCUAGAGUCCGGAAGAGGAGAGUGGAAUUCCCGGUGUAGCGGUGAAAUGCGCAGAUAUCGGGAAGAACACCUAUGGCGAAGGCAGCUCUCUGGGACGGUACUGACGCUGAGACGCGAAAAGCGUGGGGAGCGAACAGG